ACCCCGGUGCUGAAAUUGGUAGACAGGCAUGGUUGAGGGCCAUGUAUCCGCAAGGAUGUGCAGGUUCGAGUCCCGUUCGGGGUA
rnacentral:tRNA from 2 species